rnacentral:lncRNA from 1 species
GCCGGCGCCUCACCUUGGUUCACCAGGCGCAGGGCGUGCGUGAAGGAGGGGUCCAGGGAGUCCUUCUCCGCCAUCAGCUCGGGCAGGUAGCAAUCUGGAACACUCCUGACUGGCUCUUCAUCCCUCCCUGAUCUGAGUUGGCAGUCAGUCCACCAGCAGCUGUGGAGGAGGGCUAUGCACUGGGAAACUGACAGCAAGGGCACUGAAUCUUCUGCUCCAGACCCUCCUUCUCCGAGAACCUUCCAAGAAGGCAGGUGCCAAACGCUAAGCUGUUCAUGUUGAAAGGAGUCCCAACAGUGGAGUCUCUGGGAAUAAGAGUUAAAGAUAAGACCAU